AGCCAGGUGGUGUAUUAAACACAAUAAGUUGUAAACUUAGAGAAGCGAGAGCUUUGGUUU
rnacentral:tRNA from 1 species